AUUGAACGCUGGCGGCAUGCUUUACACAUGCAAGUCGAACGGCAACGAGGAGAAGCUUGCUUCUCUGUCGGCGAGUGGCGAACGGGUGAGUAUAGCAUCGGAACGUGCCAAGUAGUGGGGGAUAACCAAACGAAAGUUUGGCUAAUACCGCGUAAGCUCCAAGGAGGAAAGUAGGGGACCUAAAUAAGGCCUUACGCUAUUUGAUCGGCCGAUGUCGGAUUAGCUAGUUGGUGGGGUAAUGGCUCACCAAGGCAAUGAUCCGUAGCGGGUCUGAGAGGACGAUCCGCCACACUGGGACUGAGACACGGCCCAGACUCCUACGGGAGGCAGCAGUGGGGAAUUUUGGACAAUGGGGGAAACCCUGAUCCAGCCAUGCCGCGUGUAUGAAGAAGGCCUUAGGGUUGUAAAGUACUUUUGUUAGGGAAGAAAAGCUAGUUUUUAAUAAAAAUUAGUGAUGACGGUACCUGAAGAAUAAGCACCGGCUAACUACGUG
rnacentral:rRNA from 1 species